rnacentral:rRNA from 1 species
AACGAACGUUGGCGGCGUGCUUAACACAUGCAAGUCGAGCGGGAAGCGGACUUCGGUCUGCCGAGAGCGGCGCACGGGUGAGUAACACGUGAGUAACCUGCCCCAGGGUCUGGGAUAACUCCUCGAAAGAGGAGCUAAUACUGGAUAAGCUCGCAGAGGCGAUGGCCUCCGCGGGAAAGACUUCGGCGCCCUGGGAUGGGCUCGCGGCCCAUUAGAUAGUUGGUGAGGUAACGGCUCACCAAGUCGAAGAUGGGUAGGCUGGUCUGAGAGGAUGAUCAGCCACACUGGGACUGAGACACGGCCCAGACUCCUACGGGAGGCAGCAGUGGGGGAAUCUUGCGCAAUGGACGAAAGUCUGACGCAGCAACGCCGCGUGGGCGAAGAAGGCCUUC